CUUCUCUAUCAUCGUUGAACUUUAUCGAGCCCUCCACACUACUCUCUCUUCUCCCUCGAUUCCCCUCUCUCCGCAACAUCCGCGUCUGCCUCACUCCUGGCCAGCGCCUAGCUGAGCGUGGCCGAGCCGCUGGACGCCUGCACCGCCAUGCUGGCCUCCCCUUCCCUCGUUGCCGCCGUCUCCGCCGUCUCUGCCGAGCCAAGCGGACAGCGCUGCUGGCCACCCCUCCAACCGGCGUUCGACCUCCUCCUUUGCCCGGCGCUGCUUUGGCUCGUGCACCCCGACGGCUUCCGUCGCCGCCGUGCCGGCCUUCCCCUAUCCUCCUCGAUGCCGCAGGGCCACCUUCAUGCCGCAGCCGCGCAGGGCCGAUCGGCGCCUGGCCGCCACCCAGCCGGGGCACCGCGCCGCCAUCGCCUCGACCCGGUCGCUGGCUGCGCCGCCGCCCCUAGCCUCGCCGCUGCACUGGGCCGCCCCCGAAUGGUUGCCCUCCGAAUGGCACACAAGGAAACAAACUUCAUUAAAUGUCCUCUCAAGCCUAAGGGCAACUAAGUUAUUUGGCUGCGCCGUUACCCACCGUUACGACUAAAAAUGGACGAAAUAAUGUGGAGGGCGUGAUAAAAUUUGAUGAUAGUAGAGAGAGAGGCUCAACUUUUUUUUAAUGGCACACCAUCUCACCAUCUGCCCUUUCUUAAUGGCAAACAAGGGAAAAACCUCCAACUCUGUGCUGUACAACGGCUAAAUAUUCGAGAAAACCCCUCAUAUUAUUAUGAACUGAAACACAAACUUCGUCGGCAGCUGAGGCGCGAUGCGUGGCGGCGCGCCACAACUGGAGCGGCCCUCCCCUGAGCCUGAGGGGCAGAGGUGGGCUAGCUGGAGCCUGGAGGUGGCAGCGGCCGCCGCGCACUCGCAACUACUCACAAGCCGCCUCGGCCCCCUAAUCUUCCGCGAGAAGAACGCGGAGUAGCAGCAGCAGAGGCGUGCGGGGUCGGUGGACUCGGUGCUAACGGAGCAACCUUUCUGCUGGUGAUAAGAGCAUAAGACCUCUUCUCCUGUGAGCAGAAGCAAAGCACCGGGGAUUGAUUCUGGCACAGGCAUAUAAUGCAGUAAUAUGCCUCAAGACAGAUCAUCUCCUUUCGGUGCUUUGAAAUUUUUUCGCCAACCAGCAGAAGCAAGCCAUUUGAUUGGGAACUCCAUCAAAACAAUGACAAGAAGAUUCUGGUCCUCACAUCAUGGGAGCACUAAGCUAUGUCACUGUCACUAUUCUGGAAAUUUCUCAAGGUAUUUGAUAGCUAUCGCGAUUUCUGUAGGCCUUCCAGACUCUGUUGGAGGAGUUUUAUCAGGACCUGUGUCAAAUGUGGCAACAAGGUGGUACUUUGGUAUUUGGUAGAAAUUUAUAUUGAAAUGAUGGGGGAGGAUCGGCAUUCUAAUUUGGGCUGUGUUUAGUUCGUGUGCCAAAUUUUUUUUGAAGUAUACGGACACACAUUUGAAGUAUUAAACGUAGACUAAUAACAAAACAAAUUACAGAUUCCGCCUGUAAACUGCGAGACGAAUCUA